ACAAAGUCUCUUAUGUUUUACAGAUUCCACCAGUGUUAAGCUACAUGCCAAAAACAGAAAACUCAAUUAACAUGAAAGUAGAGCAGUAGCUAAAACAACUUGAGCACAUAAACAUUUCCUUGAAAGAAAAAACUGGUACUAAGGUGUUGCGAUUAGAGUAUUGCUCCUCCAUAGCUCGUGAACCUAAGUCUUUCUCCUCUAAAGCUUGCAAAUCUUUCGUUUCUCUCUUGCUUAGUUCAGUUAAGUCACAAUCAUAGUUAUUAUUUCAGUGCA